AUGGCAGUGUGGGGGGGUGGUGUUGCGGGGGUGAGAAGGGGCAAGUGUGAGAGACUGCUGGGUGCAGAGGCGCAGCUGGCGCCUGCCAAGGGCCGUGCCCUGUGGGGCCCCGGUAACCCUCAGCCUGCUCUCUCUGCAGUGCCCUUCAGUCCCAGACCUCCCCCCACCUCUUGCCCGCCUCACACGUGCCCAGCUUGUGAGAACCCGGGAGGGCCCUCGGUCUUCAUCUUCCCCCCGAAACCCAAGGACACCCUCAUGAUCGCCCGGACGCCUGAGGUCACGUGCAUGGUGGUGGACGUGGCCCCGGAAGACCUGGAAGUCGAGUUCACCUGGUACGUGGAUGGCAACCAGAUGAACAAGAAGACGGUGAAGGCAGAGCAGCAGCAGUUCAACAGCACCUACCGCGUGGUCAACUCCUUCGCCAUCGCGCACCAGGACUGGCUGAAGGGCAAGGUGUUCAAGUGCAAGGUCAACAACAAGGCCAUCCCGUCCCCCAUCGAGAGGACCAUCUCCAAGGCCAUAGGGCAAGUCCAGGUGCCACAAGUGUACAUCCUGGGCCCACCCUCGGAUGAACUGGCCAGGGACAAGGUCAGCGUGACCUGCCUGGUCAAAGACUUCUUCCCGCCGGACAUCAGCGUGGAGUGGCAGAGCAACGGGCGGCCGGAGCCCGAGACCAAGUACUCCUCGACCCCGCCCCAGAAGGACCAGGAGGGCUCCUUCUUCCUGUACAGCAAGCUCACCGUGGACAAGGCCCGGUGGCAGCGGGGGGACCCCUUCACGUGCGAGGUGAUGCACGAGGCCCUGCACAACCACUACGCCCAGAAGACCAUCUCCCGGAACCCGGGUAAAUGAGCAGCGCGCCCGGCGCCCGGCGACCUCCCAUGUACAUACCCUCGGGCACCCAGCAUUCAAUAAAGCACCCAGCACGGCCCUGGGACCCUGCGA